UACGGAGGGUGCGAGCGUUGUCCGGAUUUAUUGGGUUUAAAGGGUGCGUAGGUGGCUAUUUAAGUCAGUGGUGAAAUACAGCCGCUCAACGGUUGAGGUGCCAUUGAUACUGAUUAGCUUGAAAUAAUUGGAGGCUGCCGGAAUGGAUGGUGUAGCGGUGAAAUGCAUAGAUAUCAUCCAGAACACCGAUUGCGAAGGCAGGUGGCUACGAUUGAUUUGACACUGAGGCACGAAAGCAUGGGGAGCAAACAGG
rnacentral:rRNA from 1 species